rnacentral:rRNA from 1 species
AUAUUGGUAAUGUGCGAAAGCGCGAACCAGCAACGCCGCGUGCACGAUGAAGGCCUUCGGGUCGUAAAGGGCUUUUAGAGAGGAUGAGGAAGGACAGUACUUUCUGAAUAAGCCUAGGCUAACUACGUGCCAGCAGCAGCGGUAAAACGUAGGAGGCUAGCGUUAUCCGGAUUUACUGGGCGUCAAGCGCAUGCAGGUGGGUUUGUAAGUUGGAUGUGAAAGCUCCUGGCUUAACUGGGGGAGGUCGCUCAAAACUACAAGACGUGAGAUGGGUAGAGGAAAAUGGAAUUCCGGGUGUAGUGGUGAAAUGCGUAGAUAUCCGGAGGAACACCAGUGGCGAAAGCGGUUUUCUGGACCAAUUCUGACACUCAGAUGCGAAAGCUAAGGUAGCAAACG